rnacentral:misc_RNA from 1 species
GAUGAAGAACGCAGCGAAAUGCGAUAAGUAAUGUGAAUUGCAGAAUUCAGUGAAUCAUCGAAUCUUUGAACGCACAUUGCGCCCGCCAGUAUUCUGGCGGGCAUGCCUGUUCGAGCGUCAUUACAACCCUCAGGCCCCCGGGCCUGGCGUUGGGGAUCGGCAGAAGCCCCCUGUGGGCACACGCCGUCCCUCAAAUACAGUGGCGGUCCCGCCGCAGCUUCCAUUGCGUAGUAGCUAACACCUCGCAACUGGAGAGCGGCGCGGCCAUGCCGUAAAACACCCAACUUCUGAAUGUUGACCUCGAAUCAGGUAGGAAUACCCGCUGAACUUAAGCAUAUCAAUAAGCGGAGA